rnacentral:rRNA from 1 species
UACGUAGGGGGCAAGCGUUGUCCGGAUUUAUUGGGCGUAAAGAGCGUGUAGGCGGCUUGGUAGGUCCGCUGUGAAAACUCGAGGCUCAACCUCGAGAUGUCGGCGGAAACCACUUGGCUAGAGUCCGGAAGAGGAGAGUGGAAUUCCUGGUGUAGCGGUGAAAUACGCAGAUAUCAGGAAGAACACCUAUGGCGAAGGCAGCUCUCUGGGACGGAACUGACGCUAAGGCGCGAAAGCGUGGGGAGCGAACAGG